rnacentral:rRNA from 1 species
UACGAAGGGGGCUAGCGUUGCUCGGAAUCACUGGGCGUAAAGCGCACGUAGGCGGAUUGCUAAGUCAGGGGUGAAAUCCUGGAGCUCAACUCCAGAACUGCCUUUGAUACUGGUAGUCUCGAGUCCGGAAGAGGUGAGUGGAAUUCCGAGUGUAGAGGUGAAAUUCGUAGAUAUUCGGAGGAACACCAGUGGCGAAGGCGGCUCACUGGUCCGGUACUGACGCUGAGGAGCGAAAGCGUGGGUAGCAAACAGG